AUCAGACCCCAGAAAAGGUGUUGGUUGAU
rnacentral:piRNA from 4 species